AAGGUGACCAGUCUGAUAGAGAAUACAUCUACCCUUGUGUUGCAGCUUGAAGAGCGUGUGGUCAGUCCUCGGGUCGUCCAGAAGAUACAUAUUAUGGACUUAACACCAUGUCUGUUUAUAUUUUCUUGUUGAUCUUCUUCCACAACCCCUUACAGCUGUGUAACUACAGUGUCUGAAGUGAAAUACAUGCAUAAUGGACAGUUAAAUAAUGUCAUGUUAA